UGACUUCGCGCUCAGACAGUUAUUUUUUUAGGCAUGAUGGCGCCAAACAGCAGUAUCCACAUUAAUGUAAAUAUAAUAUCGAUUCGGUGUACUGCGCGAGGAAGAAAGCCAUCAGGUAUCCUUACGGAGGCUAUUUGAGGGCGUUGAGCGAGCUCGACUGGAGCCCUCGGCCCAUGAACUUUGAGAGGAACCAGCUUUCUAGAUAAUAAAUACAUGGACGACUAUGUAGGUACGCGCGGUUUUCCUGCACGUGCCACGUACCGCUAAAUCAUUUGGUAUAAUAGAAUGGCACAGCGAGGCAAACGGAUAAAUAGAAACGACAAUGAUUUGGCGUCUUGCCCAGGCGCAAUCAAAAGGCGCAAAUGUAGGCUGGGUCCAGCGACGGGUUCGUCGUCGCUGGCAGCUACCAUGGGGCCCUCAGAAGAGGAGGAGACGAUGGCGUCGUCCAGUCAAGGAGGGGCAUCCUGGACCCCCAGACCACUUUGUGACAUUAAAAUCUCUAGUAUAUACAAUCGUUCUUCUGCUGAGGCACCUGCAGAAUUAUUUCGUAAGGAUUUGAUUAGCGCAAUGAAAUUACCUGAUAGCGAGCCACUAAGUCCCAAUGAAUAUUGGGUUAUUACUGAUCAAUGGAAGCAAGAAUGGGAGAGAGGUGUUCAAGUACCUGUUAAUCCAGACUCCCUACCUGAGCCAAUAGUCACUAUCACACAAGCAACACCCAUAAAGCAACACAGUGAAUUCAAAUUACCUAAAAAAUUUGUGAGGAUAUCUCGUGAUGAUUAUUUCAAUCCUGAAGAUCAUCACUUAAGCACAACACCAGCAAGAGCAGAGAAAGCUUGUGCUUAUGAUCUUGAUGAUACUGAUAUUGCUUGGUUGGAUGUGUUAAAUGGUGAACGUGCACAGACUGGUCAGUUGCCUAUUACGGAAUCACAAUUGGAACGUGUGAUAGAAGAAUUAGAAGUUCGUUGUUGGGAAAGAAUACAGACUAUAGUAAAAAAUGAAGAAGGUCUUGGUAUUGAAUAUGAUGAAAAUGUAAUUUGCGACGUUUGUAGAUCCCCCGAUUCUGAAGAAGGAAACGAAAUGGUAUUUUGUGAUUGUUGUAACAUAUGUGUACAUCAAGCAUGUUAUGGAAUUACUUCAAUACCAGAUGGUUCAUGGCUAUGUAGAACUUGUUCUUUAAGUCAACGACCAGAUUGUGUUCUUUGUCCUAACAAAGGUGGUGCUAUGAAGUGUACUCGUAGUGGCCAAAAAUGGGCUCAUGUUUCUUGUGCUUUAUGGAUCCCAGAAGUCAGCAUUGGCUGUGUUGAAAGAAUGGAACCUAUUACUAAAAUAUCCAGUAUUCCACAAAGUCGGUGGGCCUUAAUAUGUGUGCUGUGUCGAGAAAGAGUCGGUGCUUGCAUCCAGUGCAGUAUAAAGACGUGUAAAACAGCUUAUCAUGUAACGUGUGCCUUCAAGUAUGGCUUAGAAAUGAAGGCAAUUAUUGAAGAUGAAAUGGCCGACGAUGGAGUAAAAUUAAGGUCCUACUGCCAAAAACAUAGUAGAACAAAUACAAAAGAUAAAGUUCAAGGCACUGGAAGCAGUAUAGGAAGUGGAGGUGACAAGGCAGGAUCAGAUUCCGAAGAUGCGGAAUCUAGAAGACGCAAGAGGAAAGACAUGACUUCUGAGGAAAAAAAUCAAGCACGUGCUGCAAAAUUACAAGAAAUUGAAGCAGAAUUUGACAAACAUGUAAGUUUAAAAGAUAUUGCUUCGCAACAAUUAGAUGUGGAUCCUGAUGGCAUUGUCUAUAUUUAUAAUUAUUGGAAGCUCAAAAGAAGGGCUGGUCAUAACAAACCAUUAUUGGCACCUCGUUGUGGAGAACUUUCGGGUAGUGGAUCCCGUAAUCAAGGACAAGCAGCCGAUCUCGAAAAAAUGAGGACAUUCGUGCAAUUACGUCAAGAUUUGGAAAGAGUCCGAAAUCUAUGCUAUAUGGUUGGCAGGAGAGAAAAACUAUGUCGAUCUUUCCUUAGAUUACGAGAACAGACGUUCCACAAGCAGGCUUUAGUAAUGUCAGGUCCACCUUUACCACCGGCAGCAGCUGCUGCUGUAAUGGAAGCUAAUCAUGGACCUUCGAUAUAUGAUCGAUUAUAUUCUCAUCCUGAUUCAGAAGAUCACACUCAUGAUUUUGACACAAUUGUUGCUAGAAUUGCUGGUAUAGAUUCUCCAACUAGUGAAGAGAAGAAAACUCAACAACAACAGCAGCAACAACAACAACAACAACAGGACUUCAAUGGUGCCUCUAGUAAAAAAUUGUACUUCAACGGCUCCGUCCGAAGAAAGAAUCUUUAUGGCAGUGAUUUAUCAUCUGUCAGUAGUAGUGAAACGGAUGCGACAAAAGCAAAAACUGAAAAGUCGAAAAACUUAAAACUUGAAACUGAAUCGAGUACAGAAGAGGAGACCAAUGUUUCUGCAAAAACCAAAUUAUCACGAAGAAAGGCAAAAAAAGCUGUUCAAUCGGUUGAAAAAUUACACUCGACAGUUAGGGAAAAUAGUGAAAAUGAAAAGCUUGUGAAUAGUAGAUCACAUACUCUCGAGCACAUGGAAAAAGAAUUAGGAAGUGCAUCUGGCAGUGAAAGUGAUGAAUUGUUAACGUUAAGCGGUGGAGCAACAAAACAUUUCGUUGCUUCAGCUAUUUAUUCAGAUACAGAUUCUGACUCUCAAGAGCACGCGUCUCAUUCUGCAGUGUUAAUUACGAAAGCAGCUGUAAAGGAAUUUUCUGCGGCAAAUUUAUCAAAAAAUUCGCAGAAAAACUUUAAUAAGGAUUCCAGACACAUCGAAUCAACGUAUCACAAUACAGGAUCGAAGAAUAAAGAGAAUCAAAAUAAAACUAGUGUUAAAAAGAAAGAAUACAUACCUUCUGCAUUGAUUGUUCCACAAAGACAAGCUGCGAAGAAAGCUUCGGAAAUCAUGCAACGCACACAACAAGGCAAAAAAGAUAAUUUAGUGCCUGAAACUAUGUCAGAAAUAAUUAAGUCUCCUGUCGAGGAAAUUCCAAAAUCUUCCUCCUCAAAGCAAUCAAAAGACAAAAGUCCUAAUAAAAAACAAAGAGAAAAUAAACAAUCAAAAGAAAUUAAAAAUAAUGAUGUGUAUGAUUUCGAUAAAGAAUUUGGAGAUGGAACAGAGAUUUUGGCAUAUGUACCACAGAGGCAAGCUGCAAAGAAAGCUGCAGAACACAUCAAAAGUGGUAUGGGUAGUAAAACUACACAGCAAAUCGAACAAGAAACAUUCGAUGGAAGAUCUAAAAAGGAAUCUCCAGAGACAGGAAAAAGGAAAGAAUUUAGGAAAGAUGAUUCUUCUAGAAAAGAGGAAUUAUCUUCGCGAAAAGAAGAAAUAUCAUCUUCAUCAUCAUCGUCAUCAUCGUCUUCAUCUUCUUCUUCGUCUUCAUCUUCUUCCUCAUCUUCUUCUUCCUCGUCAUCUAGAAAAGAAGAUCUCUCAUCUAGAAAAGAAGAAUUGGUUUCGAAGAAGGAAGAAUCCUCGAGAAAAGAAGAAAUCUCGAAAGAAAGUCGUUCGAGAAGACCUAGGAAAUCAAGUACGCGAGAGACAGUGCUUUCAAGUAAUAGUGAUAGCAGCAGUAGUAGUAGCAAUAGUUGUACUAGUUCUACAGAAAGUAGCAGUGAUUCUGAAAAUCCGGAACAUAGGAAAUUUUCAGAUGAAUUGAUAGAUGGUUCUUCUGCUACUACUUCUUCUGAAAGUGAUACUGGUAACAGAACAAAAAGCAAAGCGAUUCCUAGUUCAGCGAACCGAAGGCAACAAUCCAGCAAAACAUCACCGGAACGACAAGAAGCUGAAAGAAAAUCAAUUUCAGGGCGGAAACUCAAGAAGCUGCCCGAGAAGAAGCUUAAAACUUCCGACGGGCGGCGGGGACCUGAGUUUCAGCCGCCUACUGAGAGAGAGGAACCUCGUAGAACCUGCAAAGAACAGCAACAGCACCAGCACCAGCACCAGACACAACAAGAAGCAAGCGUCAAAAAGCAAGAUCAAAGAGAUAAGAAACAAUCAACAGCAGCAGGAACGGAGGUUGAUGAGGAUUUGCUCGUUGGGUCUGGAGAUCAUGAUGGGUCAAGAAAUAUUUUUGGGACCAGACCUACCAAAAAGUCGAGUCAAGUUGGUAAACAACAAUCUUUACCAAGAAAAGAAGAUAAAAAGAUCAAAUCCGAAGGCAGGAAGCGAAAACCAAACGAGUCCGUUGCGAAAGAUGAAAAGAGUGGGAAAGAAACGGUCAAAAAAUCGGAGAAACGGUUAAAUGACAAACAAUCUAUUAAAGUAAUAGAAAAGAAAGAUGAAGAACAAAGUAAAAAAGAUGAACAAAAGAUUAUCGAUCAAGAAAAAAUUGAGUGUACAGAGAGCUCUUCAAAGAGCGAAGAGAAAAAAGUAAAGAAGAUUGGAAGUAAAGAUGCAAUAAAUAUUUUAGAAGAAGAAAUGAAACAACGUAGAGCGGAAAGAGAUAGCCCGAAAAAGUCAUUAAGAGGACUAGACAAAUUACUGGAAAAACGUGAACAUCACGAUAAAAUGUCUAAGAGUAAAAUUUCAGAAGUAAAGAUUGAAAAAGUUAUUUGUGAUGAAGAAAAAGAAGAAAAGGAAUCUAUGGAAGAAAUUCAACAAAUAAAAGAAGUUAUAAAGAACGAAGAUCGUAAAAAUCAUAUUAACGAAAGCAAUAGUACUAUUGAGAAACCAAAACCAGAAGAGCGAAUAGAAGAAGAAAUAAUAAAAAAGGAUAUUACUGAGAUAUCUCAAAUUGAAAAAAUUACAUCUGGAAAGAAGAAAAUCGAUCGGAAUUUAGGGAAAAAUCAGGAAAAUGCUAUUGAACAUCAAAAUGUUGAAUUACAAAAUAUCGAAUCUCAAACAAUUUCUCUUGGAGAAAAUAUUCAAAAAGAAAAUAACGAAGACGAUAAUGGUAAAUCUAUUCUGGAAAGAGUCGAAAAUUCGGAAAAAGAGCAUCAAAAAAGACGAAAAUCUGCAAAUAGAUCAAUCUUUUCACCACAACAUGGCAAAGAUGCAAGUGUUUCAGAAUUGUUUGAUUUUGAUCAAGAUAUGUUAACAGAAGAAAUAGUAAAUGAAGAUGGAUUCGGUAUAUCUAGAGACGCGGAAGAACGGGGUGUACCGUUAAGUUUUUCAUUCAAUAAUGAAUUAUGGUUUAAGGAAGAUUCAAAAGAGGAUAGUGCUAGAGAAACGUUGCAUCUUGUAGAGAAACUACGUAUGGAACUCUCAAAAAAGUCAAAUUCUAGUCAAAUUGAAUUAGAGGCAGUACCUAUAGAUGGUGAAGUUAAAAAGGAAGAAUCAUCUAUAGAAAAGACGUACGAGCAACAUCAACAACAAUCACAGCAACAGUUACCAUUACAACUUCAACAACAACAACAAACCACUCAACAACAAGAAAAAGAGACAAAAAUUCUCGAGCCUAUCACAGAACCAGUUUUGAACGUGAAAAAUAUUGAAAUUUCUGAAGAAGAGAUAUCUACUAACGAAACCCGUCCCAGCAGUUGUAAGAGUACAAUAGAAGAAAAGAGAAAAACUUGUUACUCGAGUGGUAACGAUAGAUAUGCAGCUUAUGAAGAGGAUCGUGAAACGAACAAAGUAAGCUUGGUAGAACGAUCAAAGCUUGAUCGAGCAGAGACUGACGAAAGAUGGGUUCCACCUAGUAUCAAUAGUUUUCAACUCAGUGAUGUGCAACAUCUAAAUGCUUUAAUGGAAACACAAAAUCGUCGAUAUGGAAACCAUCAAUUCCCUAAUGAAUCUAUUCCAGAAAACGAAUCUAUUGCGCGUACUCAUUUGAACGCACCGAGUAUACAAGAACAAUAUCUUUUGCAGCAACCACAUUCAAUUCUUCACAGUCAGCAAGAAUCACAUGAAAGAACGAUACUCGAUCAACCGAUAUCUGAAGAGAAUCCUAUGGAAAUGGUAAAUAGACAUUUAAUAGGAUUGCCAGCAUCAGAGGAUGAUCAGGCUGCUGAAAUGAUGGAUAGAGUGCUCGAAAAAGAAGAUGACGUUGUCAGACAACAGGAAUAUGAUCAAAACUCUCCGUACAAUGAUAUAAAUGGUCGUCCAGAUACUAGAUGGGCAGAAAGUCAAGUUUUACCGUCUCGUAGAUCCACAUCUUCUUCGAUUACUUCCGCCUCUUCUGCAGAGGAUCAUUCUAUUCCACCAUACAAGAACGUGGCUGGUAUUCCAUUCCCACCAUGUUCCAUGGAAACAACAUAUUACGCAGAUUCUAGUUACGGUACUGGUCCAGUCAGUCUGUUUCCGCCACAGUCUUGCGCGGCACCGUUACCUUAUCCUUCUCCUGGUCCAGCCCUUUUUCCACCAGCAUUUGGAGCAGCUUUUCCAGGAGCUCAAUCAUUAUUACCCCACGUGAAGCCAUUAGAAGAUUCGCUUAAUCUACAAGCUUCACCAUGUACUGCAGCGUUCACGUCUUCCUCGCACAACAUGGCGCUUACAGCAGCUAUGGUCUCGCCUACUAAAAUAGUUACACCACCUCCACCACCACCUCCACCACCUCCCCAAGUCACUGCUCCACCUACAGAAUCCAUAGAGAGAACGCAACAACAAUUACAAACGCAAGUAGCCGAUUCACCCUCUUUGCCAAUGAAUUUCUUGAACACCGUAGCACCGGAAAAUCAUACUAAUGAUACCGUUGUCGAGAGUCUUCAAGAAGCUUUGGCAGAUAGUAAAAGUCAACAUUCUGGGAAAAAGUCGCCUUCUAAACCUACUAGAACUUCUGCCCGUGUCACAUCAUUACAAGGAAAGUCUCCGGGGAAAUCUCCAAGACAAGAUACUCAAAAAAGCAUUCCUGGAGCGCGAGGUCGUGGCAGAGGGACAAAAAAUUCGGCGCAACAUUCUGGUUACAGAGGACGCGGACGUGGAAGAGGAAGAGGACGAGGUAGAAGCGGUCAAAACUCAGGACUUUCUUUGGUUUCCGGUGCUAUCGGUCAACACGAUGAUUCUAUUCAGAACAAACUAGUCGGUACGGUAUAUGAUUUUGAUUCCGACGAAGAUUCGACCAGUGAAGCAAAUAUUGCUGAUUUGCGUACUAUGAGAGAACGAAAGAAAUCAACUGAUGCUGCAACGGCUGGAGUUGAAAGAAGAGAUUCCACAGUCAUGGCCUCUGGAGAAAGCAUUCAAUCAAGACUCUCUAGUCCGGGAGGCACAAGAAAAUAUUUGGAAGAUAGGAGACUUUCUUGCUCUCCAAAUCAUGAUGAUUCUGCCGUUGUGGAAAGUCAGUCAAAUGCCGGACAAAGUUUUGAUACCGUCCUGCCACUUAUUCCUGGUCCUGUCGAUAUGAGAACGUACAAUUCUACUCUCGAUGCUUCAAGCUCUUCCACUUUACACGGUCAGACAUAUGAGAAUCAUUUCCUUGGUACUUUCACCGGUGUUUCAACGAAUGAUCCUGCCCUUCCGGAUAUUGAGGAAGAUCUAGAAAAAGAACUAAGAUCCGCGCUGAUCAAACAAGGUCAAGAAGAUUGUUCAAAACCUAGUUUUGAUGCAAGUAUCGACGCUUCGUCUUCUAGCUUUGUAGACACUAAUAAAGUCUCUUUGACAGACUCGAGAAAUCAAUUGAAGGUCAAGAUUAAAGGUCCUUUCCUCGAUGCAAAUUAUGUUGCUACCUCGUCAGUACCACCGCUUGCUCAACAGGCACCUGUAAUAAUUACUCCAGCCGCUACCAGUGCUUCCAUCGCUUCCGGAACGUCAAAUCUUCGACGAAUGCGAAAGAAGGAAUUGCUCAGACAGUAUUGUUCUCAGGAUAUGAAUAUGGAUGAGACAGGAUGUGGAAAUCUUGCUACAUCCGCACCAAUCAUAAUGCCACAAAUCAAUCGCACAGUAAUAACAAUUCCUAAAGCGGUCGCUUCGAUGACCAGUAUACCUACAAGAGAAGAUUAUAAAGCAGUUGUUGAUGCAAAUAUGGAAAAGAAAAGAAGAAAAGAGAGAUCUACAGGAUUCUUGGAUGCUAAUGAAGAAGAGGGAAACAUCGAGAGGAGGCGUGGUAGUGCUACUAACGGUGCUAGUUCUAGUGGUAAUGCUCCGAUUGGUAAUAUAGAUCGUAGAAGAGGAAGGCAGAGUAGCGGUGGUAGAUCAACAACAACGACCACUACGACCACUACUACGAAUAGUGGUCCACCAAAAUUGAAAAUCAAAAUUGGCAAUAGUAUAAUUGGUGGGCAGGAAAGCGGUCAAGAUGAUAGAACGAGAAUCAGACCACCGAAAAAACGAUUAAGUAGUAUUCCUAGUACACCAAGUAUCGAAGAAUUAAGAAGAGAAAGUAUGAAAUUUAGACGUAUGAUUAUGGCCGGUUUCGAUAACGAUGAAAAAUUAAGAGGCAAAAGUAAAAAAGAUAAGAACGGUAAACGAAAAAAGCGACAGUCGAGUAGAAAAGAAGCUAGGGUACGUAUUCUUGAAGGUGGAACUGCUCCACCAAAAUUAAUCAUAAGAUUAGGCAGAGGUAACGAUUCUCCGGAUGAAUUACCGAUUUUACUCACGGAUGAAGAAGAAGAGGAAGAAGAGGAACGACAUCCGACUGAUAGUAGAGUAGGUCCUCCUCCUCCAGAACCUGUCAAAGACGAGCCUGUUUAUCCAUCAGUAACUGCUAAUAUAGAAGAAAAACAACCUACUGAUCCGGAUACUGGCGGCAGUGCACCUAGAAAUGUUCGUUCGGCUAAAGUUACGCCGAUCAGAUUAAAAUUGACACGCUGCCAAGAAGGCUAUGAGCUAAAGGGCUCGCCUGUUCACGGUGAGGAGUCCAAUUUAAUGACGGAGAAACCACAAAGUCCGGAAGUUCCAAACGAAAUAAGAAAUCCACCGAUCAAAAGCCAAGAAGAAGAAUCCUCUCGAGAGGAGGAAGAUGAAGAAGAGGAAGAGAAUAAUAGUUCUGUACAAAGGGACUCCUCCACAUGUCCUGCCGCGACAAGUAUACCGCAAGGAUGCCAAGUUAGGUGAUAAUUAAUGAUACUCGUGGAGUAAUGGGGCAAAGAACAUAAACACAUACAUACGGUGCUUGUAUGAUUUUUACGAUCGAUCGAUAAAGAAAAUGGACUCGAUAUACGCUUGCGGUUACAAGCUGCGAAAGCAUAUUGCCGUAAUAAGGUGAAAAAACUGUUCCUCUAAGUUACGGUCCAAGAAGAUCGAGAAACAUGAAACAAAAACACUCAUUUUGGCGAGAGGAACAAGGUGGUCGUGACUUCUAAGAUAUACUCGUUUUGGAUUCGCUUCAAUGGAAAGUUCUCCAACAUUAAACAAGAAGGAUUUAUACUCCUCGAGAAAAAAAUAAUCCGGUUUUAUUCUUAAACAAUACUCGAGAGAUGAAAACGGGUGUGCCAUUUCACGGCGGUGACGAAAUGUCUGUUUUUUCCCUAAAAAAAAGAAAGCAAAUUGAAGAACAAUCGAGGUCGUUGACGAAGAUCUUUAUGGAAUCUACUGUGAACUCAAUAAUCUGAUAUUGUAAACAAGAAAUAUUUCGUCUCAUUUAGAAAUUGAAAUUAUGUAUGCGUGCACAUCUGAUUACGCGAGUGUAUUGUAUAUGUAUUUUGAAGGAAAAAAAUGGAAAAAAGAAAUGAUUAAAAAAACAGUGAGAAUUCUUGAGAUUGCUUCGUACACGGCCUCGUCAUCAACUUCACAGUAAGAAUUAGUUAAUUGUACAUACUUGUAAUCUACGAUUGUAUUUAGUUUAAGUCGAAUAAGAAGAAUAUAUCUGGUGAAAAAACGAAUGAGUAUGCAAGAAAAAGAAUGAAUGAGAGAAUAAAUGAAUGCAUGAGAAAUUGUGUAAAAGAUUUUGUAAUCAGUGCGAAGCUUACGUGAUGGCUGUGUUUUACCACGCGGUCCGAUCUUCCAGGUAAAUUAAUCCUGGGCCGCGCAGAAACGUUCAGUAUCCCCCUACAACCGCUGGAUCGCUUGAGUGUUCUCCCCCUCUCCCCAAUCGAGACGGUCGGUUGAUAUUACGUAGAAAUAGUAUUAAAAAAAUUAAACGAAAAAGAAAAAAAAUAAAAAAACAAAAUAAAAAUAGAAAAAAUAUAUAAGUAAAAGAACUAAUAGACUUUCGGACAAAAAAAUCCGAAGAAAAAAAUGUAAUUUACCGAGUUAUUAUUUAGACGAGGACAAUCUUGCUGCACAAUAGCAGCUUCUUUGAUGAAUUAGAUCAAUUAAUCGUAUAGUCUAUCGCAAUAAUAUGAAUCGGUUAUAAUUACGCAGUUGUCUUUAGUAUACGAAUUACAGAAAUCCGUUAUUAAAUAUCUAUUUAAUUUAUGAUAUAUAUAAAUGUGAAAUAACAUUAUUUUUUUUAUCAAAGCAAAUUCGUAAGAACUAUUAACACGCAUUUUUCAUCGUGUUUUUACAAUUCAUUAGAUAUUUUAUAUAUUAGAUAUACAUAUAUAUAUAUAUAUAUAUAUGUACAUAUAUAUAUAUAUAUAUAUAUAUAUAUAUAUAUUAAGCUAUAUUUUAUAUUGAGUAUAAUGUUAAUAAUUUAUUCUUUAUUUAGUGUAAAUAAGUUCUAUAUAGAAUGAAAGUUCAUGUUUUAUACAAUAGCAUAGUUUGUAAUACGAUAGUUAAUUCGUUUUCGCUCCUUUUAGUUUUUACGUUUUUACUUUGAUUUUAAAUAAUCUCAUUUUUUUUAUCGAAUUCUAAAAAUAUAAAAUUUUCUUUAAAGACGACUGCAUAAUUUAAUGAUAAUAAAUAAACAUCUAUUUCUAGAUGUUCGUUAAAAAUGGGCUAUAUGAAAAAUAGUAAUCGAAAAUAAUCGUCCAUAUCCAUAUUCAAAAUAUGUUCUGCGUUGAAAAAUAUUUAUCCUCGUUGAACUUCCAGCGAUAAGGAAGGAGGAAAAAACUUUUUCUUUCUAUGGAAAAAUAUAACUUCUUUCCUGUUGCGCUGUAUGACGAAGAUAAACAUAAUUUCUUCGCUUGGAAUCUGGGGUACGGAAUUUCUCUGCGCGGACCGUAUAUUUUGAUCCUAGAUCCAGUCAAUCAAAUUUUUUUAUGUCUAUUUUUCUGUACUUAUUACCGUUUUCAAAUGAAAGAACUAUUUUCGUUAAACUAUGAAUAUUAAAGCUGAGUAUUAUCAAAAUGAUAUGAUAAUAUUUUUGAACGAUAAUUUUGUCUAUAUUUAAUAUUUCUCAUUUUUAAUAUUAUUUUAUGUAUGUAUAAUGUUCUUUUGGAAUUAUGAUAUCCAAUGUAUAAGAGAUUUCUGAGCUAAUAGUACAAUGACUUUUAAUGAUGUAUUAAUUAUAAUUCUUUCAUAUUUUUUUUUUAAACUAUUGACGAUCAAUGUUAAAGAAUUUAAGAACUCUAGCAUAUCGUACUUAUAUGAUAUUAUAUUUCUGUAUGUAAAUUUUGUACAAUUUUUUACGAUCUCGUACAUUUGAAUGAAAUAUCUCUAAGAGAAUUAACAAAAAGAGAGAAAAAAAAAACGUCUAAACGUUUUUAAAUUUUUCAUGACUUGUUUAUUAUCUUUAAGUUUUAUUUCUUAUUAUUUAUCGAUUUUAAAAAUUUCAUUUAAUAUUUUGUAACAAUAGAAUUAUGAUUUAUGUGCAAAUGCAAAAUAUUUUAUUAAUGCUUUUCUUUUUUUUUUAUUAUAAUAAUAUUAAUUUUGAAUUAUAGUCAUUCGUAAUGUUUGAUAUGUAAAAAAAAAUCGAUCUAAUUAACAUUUUUUAUGAACUAAAAUAAAUUAGAAUUAUAUAGAAUGAUAGUAUAAUAUAUUAAAAGUACAGAUACUAAAUGCUGCAUAUCUCUUAUUCACAAAUGAUUUUCAAAAUAGUUAUUUUCAAAAGUUAUCUUACUUUUAGCUCAAAAAUCUUUUCAUUUAAGUGAUAUAGUACAAUAUUUUAUUUCUGUAAUUUAUCCAAAAGGAUAUAGGAUACAAGAAAAUCAUGUAGAUCGUUUUUUUUUUGUUUUCAAAUUUUGAUAUAUAUAUUUUUUGUUAUUUAUAUAAUUAAUUUUACAUAAAAUAUAAAGAGUUACAAUUAAUACGAUUGAAUAUGCGAACUCAACGAAAGAGAAGUUUAAUUUUAAUGAAUUUGUAAAUAAUAUAUAAUUACAAUGAACAAAAGAAUUUCGAUUGAUUGAUUUUAAUUGUUUAAAUAGUAACCAAGUUGACUGGUUCUAGAAUCGAAUGAGAUGUUAUUAUUAAAUUAGUUAGAAUUCUGAAUUCUGAGAGGAGAAAUAACGUUAUACACCCUGGAAGCCGGAAAAAAAAGUUGUCGGCGAUAAGCGGAGCCUUAGCGGAGCCUAUUGUGUUGUAUAGAGAAGACGAAAGCCAAGCAAAAUCAUUUAAUUUCGAAUCAUUUCUUACUUACGCUAAGCAUAGAAAGAAUUCGAUAAUGAUAAAUUGUCAUAACUCGUUGUAUAUGUCCACAUAUAAAAUAAAAAUGUGGAUACUUACAAUGAUUUCAGAACACAUACGUGCAUAUAUAAAUAUAUAAAUAUAUAAAUAGUUUUAUUAUAUUGCAAAGUGAAAUAAUACAAUAUUUAGCUACUGUAUAUAAUGUAAAAGAAAAGCUGGUCUUGUAAGAUACGGAUUAAGGUGUUUUAAUGUGCACAUAGCCGCGUCAUUGUCAAUAAUCAUAUUAUUACGAUUAAUAAUAAUUACAGUUUUUUAAAAAAAAUGAA